AACACGUGAAUAACCUACCUCAAAGUCUGGGAUAACCAUUGGAAACAGUGACUAAUACCGGAUAAAACCCAAGUGCACAUGCACUAAGGUUAAAAGCUGCGUUUGCAGCGCUUUAAGAUGGAUUCGCGGUGCAUUAGUUAGUUGGUGAGGUAAAGGCUCACCAAGACGAUGAUGCAUAGCCGAGUUGAGAGACUGACCGGCCACAUUGGGACUGAGACACGGCCCAAACUCCUACGGGAGGCUGCAGUAGGGAAUCUUCCACAAUGGGCGCAAGCCUGAUGGAGCAACGCCGCGUGUGUGAUGAAGGCUUUCGGGUCGUAAAGCACUGUUGUAUGGGAAGAACGGGUUUAAGAGGAAAUGCUUAGACAGUGACGGUACCAUACCAGAAAGGGACGGCUAAAUACGUGCCAGCAGCCGCGGUAAUACGUAUGUCCCGAGCGUUAUCCGGAUUUAUUGGGCGUAAAGCGAGCGCAGACGGUUGCUUAAGUCUGAAGUGAAAGC
rnacentral:rRNA from 1 species